GCCAACCCCACCGGACGCAACCGCACCACUCUGCCCCCUCGCCCUCUGCUCUCAUCCCGGCGAAACAUGCUUCGCGGCGGCGUGGCCGGCGCUUGAAUCGCCGGCGACGGAGCGAUGGAAGAAGCCGGGCUCGAGCUCUUACUUGAUGCCGUCGACCGCCUGCCACCCAUGGCGGAAUAUGAUUAUGUAGGUUUCCCCUAAGGGAAGAAAGCGAAUCUGGGAAGGCAAGAUGAACGUAAUGGUGCUUCUGGGUGCGGGCAACAUAUUGGAGGAGAUACAACUGCUGAGCCAAACUGCGGCGAACGACGGUAGUGAGAAAUAUCGCCCACUGCAUCAGCGCAAUCUACUGACAGGGUUAACCCAGAGGCACCUGGGUGGACAAAAUGGUUAUGCCUGGGGAGCGCAACUCCGGGUAGGAUGCCUUGCCCUUCAGGUAGGAGUGCAUUUGAGCAGACAAUCCGAAAAUACGCCGAAUGUCAAUCUUGGUAAAGUGUAAAGCCUCGUAUGGAGUGUUUUCGGGACUGUCGAGAAUGUGCUGUUCACAAAAAGAAUGCACAGGAACAUAUGUGGUAAGAUAUGUCGCAAGCGAGCUGAUGAUGAUGUGAGGAAAACCUUGGAGGUUUUUGCGGACAUAUUGGCUGGUAACCCAGGCUUCACAUACCGUGUGCUGGCAAAAAGCAAUAGCAGAGUUAAGAAUUUGAUGUGGACAAAUGGGAGCAGUCGGAUGCGAUACCAGUUCUUUGGGGAUUUGAUAACGUUCGACACGACAUACAGAACCAACUUAUAUGACAUGCCUUUCGGUCUAUUUGUUGGGGUAAACAAUCAUUUCUAGAUCAUUAUCCUAGCGCGGGACCUGAUGAGAGAUGAGCAGGUUGAAAGUUUUGAAUGGGUUUUCGCUGAGUUCCUGUGGAUGAUGGGAGGUCCUGCACCUCGAACAAUACUAACAGAGCUAUGGAGGUGGCGAUCCGCAAGGUUUACCCCGAUACUGUGCACUAGUGGUGCAAGAGGCACGUGCUGGAGAAGGUGAAAGAAACCUUGGGGCCACUCUACACGAAAAAGACUGACUUCCAAGCAGAGUUCCAUAUGGUUGUGAAUCACAUGGUAACUAAUGAUGAGUUUAAGAUAGCCUGGAGCUGUGGAGCAUGCUGCUUGAUAAUAACAAUUUGAGAAAACAUCCUUACAUGACCCAGAUCUAUGAAAUAUGCUCGAAGUGGGCAAAAUCAUACUUCAAGGGGUGUUCGAUCUGCGCCAAAGUCACAAGUACACAGCACAGCGAGAGCGCAAAGCACAUGUUCAAGUCUUACAUGCUGCUUGCAAGCUCAAUGCACAUUUUUGUGAGGCAGUACAUGAGACUUCAGUUUUGACCGUGAGCAGGAAGAAAAUUACGAGGAGAAGAGGACUAUGAUUGGUGAGCUUGUUAGGAGAACAAAUCUUGCAAUAGUGCGGCAUGCGAGCAUAAUAUAGACAAGGGCCAUGUUUGAACAUUUUGGCCGUCUGCUAAUUGAGCGUACAUCAUAUAACGUUAUGGAGGUUGAGAAGAUGAGGAAAUAUGUGUCAAACACACAAUAAUCCAUCAAAACGCAAUGAGUGGUUCAGGGUUGUUUAUGGGGUAGUCAUCACAGAGGACGGGUUAGAGUUCAUUUGUGAGUGUGGUCAAUUUGACCACACGGGGAUGCGAUGCUGCCACUACCGUUGGUCUCCCCUUAAGAGAAAAAAAACAGGUAAUGGAUGUGCUUCACCUAGAGGAAAUAUCACUGAAACACAUAAGGAAGCGGUGGACAAGAGAUGCAAGGGACAUACUUCCUGAGCACCUAUGGCACUACCAGAAGGACAAUGCGGUAAACAUGUCUUUCAAUUGCAGGCAUUCGACUUUGUACGCGCAAGCUAUGAAAGUUGUGCGGCUGGGGGAUGCCGGCGCUGAAUCGUUCCACCACAUGCCAGCUGGUCUGAAAGCCUUGAUUGCUAGUGGGGUGCCUUUCGCAAAGAAGAGGGACAUUUUAGGUUUCGAGGACUGUCUGUUGAUCUUGCCCGGCGGAAGGUUGCCAGGCAACGGGGAUGUUGAAAAAUUUGGGGGCGACGACGGUCGUUGCCAUGAAGAUGGUGCAGGAUGAUCUGCAAGCAUUAAUGCCCUGCAUGGUCUAGCUGCUCCAGAUAAGCAAAGAGGGGCUGGACGUCAGACUAAUAGCAGAGAGAAAGCUCCAUACGAGGGGCUGAGUGAACGAACACAAUUUUGCGGCAUUUGUCGUCAUGAAGGCCACAAAUGAACCACCGGUCCCGACAGGGGUGAUGCCCAAAGAAACCUCAUAAACCGGGGAAAUGCAAGAACUGUGGGAUGGAGGGACACCAUCACAACACAUGCUGCGUAGAAAAACACUAAAUUACGUUGAUUGGAAAAACUUUGUAAAAUUGAGGAUUUUCUGGUGUGUUCCAGUGAGCAUUUGCUCCACACUUGUUCCUCUUAGUCGAACGUUGUUGCAUUUACAGUUCAGAAAAAUGUGUUGUUGUAGAACAAUAAAUUGUCAGCGUUGAGUGUUUCUGAAAA